rnacentral:rRNA from 1 species
GUUGAACGCUGGCGGCAGGCCUAACACAUGCAAGUCGAGCGGCUGAAGGGAGCUUGCAACUGGACUCAGCGGCGGACGGGAGAGUAAUGCCUAGGAAUAUGCCUGGUAGUGGGGGAUAACGUCCGGAAAGGGGCGCUAAUACCGCAUACGUCCUGAGGGAGUAAGUGGGGGAUCUUCGGAUCUUACGCUAUCAGAUGAGCCUAGGUCGGAUUGGCUAGUUGGUGGGGUAAAGGCCUACCAAGGCGACGAUCCGCAACUGGUCUGAGAGGAUGAUCAGUCAAACUGGAACUGAGACACGGUCCGGACUCCUACGGGAGGCAGGAGAGGAGAAUAGUGGACUAGGGGCUGGAGCCUGAUCCAGCCAAGCCGCGUGGGUGAAGAAGGGCUUCGGAUUGUAAAGCUCUUUAAGUUGGGAGGAAGGGCAGUAAGUUAAUACCUUGCUGUUUUGACGUUACCAACAGAAUAAGCACCGGCUAACUUCGUG